UCCUACGGGACGCAGCAGUGAGGAAUAUUGGUCAAUGGGCGGGAGCCUGAACCAGCCAAGCCGCGUGAAGGAAGAAGGCGCCAGGCGUCGUAAACUUCUUUUGUCGGGGAACAAAGGGCGCCACGCGUGGCGUUGUGAGUGUACCCGAAGAAAAAGCAUCGGCUAACUCCGUGCCAGCAGCCGCGGUAAUACGGAGGAUGCGAGCGUUAUCCGGAUUUACUGGGAUUAAAGGGUGCGCAGGCGGUCCGGAAAGUCAGCGGUAAAAGCCCGGGGCCCAACCCCGGCGA
rnacentral:rRNA from 1 species